rnacentral:snoRNA from 1 species
UUUCUCCUUAUGAUGAAACAUUUUCGGAUGUAAACAGCCUAUAGGCUAUUGUCCAAGAGCGCAUAAAAUCGUGUGGAUAUUUCCGUUGCCUUCCUUCUGAUCAUUUUAU